UCAUGUGGGCUCCCUGCGCUGAGGAAGAAGGAGAAGGAGAAGAAAUAGGAAAAGAAGAUGAAGAAGAAGGAGGAGAAGAAGCAGGGAAAGGAGAGUAAUAAGAAAAAAAAGGAGAGGAGAAGAAGAAGAAAAGAAGGAGAAGAAAAAGGAGAACAGAAAGGAGAAUAAUAAUAAAAAAAAGAGAGAAAUAAGAAGAAGGAGAAGAAGAAAAAAACAGAAGAAAGAAAAGAAAAAUGAUAAGUAGGAGAAGAAGAGGAAGAAUAAGAAGAAGAUAAGAAGAAGAAGAAGAAGAAGAAGAAGAAGAAGAAGAAGAAGAGAAAGGAGAAUAAUGAGAAGAAAAGGGAGAGGAAGAGGAGGAAGGAUAAGAAAAAUAACAGAAGGAGAAGAAAAGGGAGAAAUAGGAGAAGACGAGGAAGAAGAAGAAGAAGAAGAAGAAGAAGAAGAAGAAGAAGAAGAAGAAGAAGAAGAAGAAGAAGAAGAAGAAGAAGAAGAAGAAGAAGAAGAAAAAGAAGAAGAAGAAGAAGACGAAGAAGGAGAAGAAAAAGAAGAAAAGGAGAAGAAAAAGAAGAAUAAAAAGAAGAAGGAGAAAAAUGAGAAGGAGAAGUAGGAGAAGAAGAAGAGAAGAAAAAUAAGUAGGAUAUAUAGGAGAAGAAGAGGAAGAAGAGGAAGAGGAAGAAGAAGAAGGACGAAAAUAAAGAUAAGAAAAGAAGAAAAAAGAGGUGGAGAAGAACAGAAGAAUAAAACAAAAAAGAAGAACAAGAACAAGAAAAACAAGAAGAAGACAAAGAAGAACAAGAACAAUAAAAAGAAGACAAAGAAAAAUAAUAAGAAGAAGAAAUAGGAGAACAAGAUGAAGAAAAAGAAGGAGAAAUUGGAGAAAAAGAAGGAGAGAAAAAGAAGAAGAGAAGAAGAGGAAUGAGAAGAAGAAGAAGAAGAAGAAGAAGAAGAAGAAGAAGAAGAAGAAGAAGAAGAAGAAGAAGAAGAAGAAGAAGAAGAAGAUGUAUACAAAUAAAAGAAGAAGGAAAAGAAGGAGAAGGAGGAGAAGAAGAAGGAAAAUGAGGAUAAGAGAAGAAAACUAGAAGAAGAAGAAGACAAUAAAAAGAAGAAAGAGAAGUAGGAGAAGAAUAAAAAGAAGACAAAGAGCAGCAGAAGGAGAAGAAAGGGGAGCAAUAUGAGAAGAAAAGGGAGUAGAGGAAGAAGAAGAAGAAGAAGGAGAAGUAGGAGAAAGAGAAGAAGAAGAGAAGAAAAAGAAUACGGAUAAAUAGGAGAAAAAGAGGAAGAAGAAUAAGAAGACGAGUUAGAGGAAUAAGAAGUAGAGAAAGAGAGGAAGAAGAAGAAGAGAAAGAGAGGAAGAAGAAGAAUUAGAAGAAGAAGACAAAGAAAAAGAAUGAGAAAAAUAAAGAGAAGAAGAAGAAGAAGGGACGGCGUGGCGAAGUUGGUAGAGUGGCCGUGCCAGCAAUCGGAGGGUUGCUGGUUACUGGGGUUCAAUCCCCACCUUCUACCAUCCUAGUCACGUCCGUUGUGUCCUUGGGCAAGACACUUCACCCUUGCUCCUGAUGGCUGCUGGUUAGCGCCUUGCAUGGCAGCUCCCGCCAUCAGUGUGUGAAUGUGUGUGUGAAUGGGUGAAUGUGGAAAUACUGUCAAAGCGCUUUGAGUACCUAGAAGGUAGAAAAGCGCUAUACAAGUAUAACCCAUUUAUCAUUUAUUUAUAAGAACAAGAAAAAGACCAAGAAGAACAAAAAAAGAAAAAUAGGAACAAGAACAAGGACAAAAACAAUAAAAAGAACAAGAACAAGAAUAAGAAGAAGAACACGGAGGAGGAGGAAGAAGAAGAGGAAGAAGAAGAGGAAGAAAAAGAGGAAGAAGAAGAAGAGGAAGAGGAAGAAUAAGAAGAAAAAGAAGAAGAAGGAGGAAGAUGAGGAAGAGGAAGAGGAAGAUGAGGAGGAGGAGGAGGAGAAGAAGAAGGAGAAGAAGGAGAAGAAGAAGACAAAAAAAAGAAAAAGAAAAAGAAGAACAAUAAGCAGGAGAAUAAAAAGAAGAAGAAGAAGAAGAAGAAGAAAUAGGAGAACACGAUGAAGGAAAAGAAGAAGAAGAAGAAGAAGAAGAAAUAGGAGAACAAGAUGAAGGAAAAGAAGAAGAAGAAGAAGAAGAAGAAGAAGAAAUAGGAGAACACGAUGAAGGAAAAGAAGAAGUAGGAGAAGGAGAGAAAAACAAGAAGAGAAGAAGAGGAAUGAGAAGAAGAAGAAGAAGAGAAGAAGAGGAAUGAGAAGAAAAAGGACAAUGAGAAGAAGAAAAAGAAAAGAAGGAGUAUAAAAGGAUAAAUAUGAGAAGAGGAAGAAGAAGAAAAAUAAUAAGUAGGACAUAAAUAAGAUAAGAAGAGGAAAAUAAGAAGAAGGAUAAAUAGGAGAAGAAGAGGAAGAAGAAGAAGAAGAAGAAGAAGAAGAAGAAGAAGAAGAAGAAGAAGAAGAAGAAGAAGAAGAAGAAGAAGAAGAACAAGAACAAGAAGAACAAGAAAAAUAAAAAAAAAGAAGAAGAAGACAAAGAAGAAGAAGACAAAGAAGAAAAAGGAAGGGGAUUAAGAGAAGAAAAGGAAGAAGAAGAAGAAGAAAAUAAAAAAGACAAAAAAGAAAAAGAAAAAAGAAGAAGAAGAAGAAAAAAGAAAAGAAGAACAAUAAGCAGGAGAAGAAAGAGAAGAAGAAGAAGAAAAAUGAAGAGGAGAACAAGAUGAAGAAAAAGAAGGAAAAGUAGGAGAAUGAGAGAAAAACAAGAAGAGAAGAAGAGGAAUAAGAAGAAGAAGAAGAAGAGAAGAAGAGGAAUAAGAAGAAGAAGGAGAAGAAGAAAAAGAAAAGAAGAAGGAGAAGAAAAAGGAGAAAUAUGAGAAGAGGAAGAAGAAGAAGAAGAAGAAGAAGAAGUAGGACAGGAAUGAGAUAAUAAGAGGAAAAUAAGAAGAAGGAUACAUAGGAGAAGAAGAGGAAGACCAAGAAGAAAAAGAAGAACAAAAAAAGAAGAAGACAAAGAAGAAGAAGAAGGAGAGAAAGAAGAAAAAAAUGAGAGGAGGAAGAAGAAGAAGAAGAAGAAGAAAAGAAAAAGAAGGAAAAAAAGAAGAAGAAGAAGAAGGAAAAGAAGAAGAAGAAGAAGAAGAAGGAGAAAAAGAUGAAGAAGAAGGAAAAAAGAAAAGGAAGAAGAAGAAGAGAAAGAAGAAUAAAAAGAAGAAGGAGAAGGAGAAGGAGAAGGAGAAGGAGAAGAAGAAGGAGAAGGAGAAGGAGAAGAAGAAGAAGGAGAAGAAGGAGAAGGAGAAGGAGAAGGAGAAGGAGAAGGAGAAGGAGAAGGAGAAGAAGGAGAAGGAGAAAAAGAAGAAGGAGAAGAAGAAGAAGAAGAAGAAGAAUAAGCUCCUCCCAAACGACAGCAAGAUGGACUGGUGCAGAGUCCGCAUCACUGCAGAUGCUGCACCCAUCUGCUUUUCCAUCUCAAGAUCCACUCCCAAGGUGCUUGAACUCUUCUAUUUAGGACAGAAUGUAAUUCCCAACACUCCAACCUUUUUCGGGUCAAGAACAAUGGACUUGGACUUGGAGAUGGCCCAAUGAAGCCAGGAGAACCACAUCAUUUGCAAAAAGCAGAAACCCAAAUCUGUAGCGAGCAAAGUUAAUCCCUUCAACGCUCUGAAUGUGUCGAGAAAUUCUGUCCAUCAAAGUUAUAAACACAAUCGGUGACAAAGCCGUGGUAAAGUCAGUUCCUUACCGGAAACCAGUUUGACUUACUGCCAGUAAUAAAGACCGAGUGCUGACACCGGUUUUACAGAGAACAGACAGACGGGGUCCAAUAGCCCAUAUUCCCUGAGCAAUUCCCACAGGAUGUCCCCAAAAAACACGGUUAAAUGUUUACCCCAAGUCCACAGAACACAUGUAGACAGGUUGGGCAAACUCCCUUGGACCCUCAAAGAUCCGCUGAGAGUAUUGAGCUGGUCCACAAAUCCACGACCAAGACGAAAACCACACAGCGCCUUCUGAAUCUGAGGUUCGACUAUUCGGCGGACUCCCCUCGCUAGCACACCUGAAUAGACCCGAGGAGUGUGUUCCCGCCAUAGUUGGAACACACGCUCAGUUCCUUCGUGAAUAGUGGAACCAUCACCGAUCCAGAGGCACCUCUCCCCAUGCCCAUGCAAUGCUGCUGAGACCUUUCGACUAAGCAGCCCCACAGCAUCCAAAGUCCUCAGGAACCCCGGUUGGAUCUCAUCCAGCUUCUUAAUUACCACCAAACACUGAUUCCGAAUAGGAAGAGCUCUAGGUGGGAUUGAGGAGGCCUUCUGAGUAUUCCUAACACCGAUCUCCGACAUCUGUACAGGGUUACAGAACAGGAACGCUGAUGGGUCGCCAUAAGGCGCCCCUGAAAAGAUGGGGAAAAGAACCUGCCCGAGGACUUGUGAGCAGAAACUUCCUGU